AUUGAACGCUGGCGGCAGGCCUAACACAUGCAAGUCGAACGGUAACAGGAAGCAGCUUGCUGCUUUGCUGACGAGUGGCGGACGGGUGAGUAAUGUCUGGGAAACUGCCCGAUGGAGGGGGAUAACUACUGGAAACGGUAGCUAAUACCGCAUAACGUCGCAAGACCAAAGAGGGGGACCUUAGGGCCUCUUGCCAUCGGAUUUGCCCAGAUGGGAUUAGCUGGUAGGUGGGGUAACGGCUCACCUAGGCGACGAUCCCUAGCUGGUCUGAGAGGAUGACCAGCCACACUGGAACUGAGACACGGUCCAGCCUCCUACGGGAGGAAGCAGUGGGGAAUAUUGGACAAUGGGCGCAAGCCUGAUGCAGCCAUGCCGCGUGUAUGAAGAAGGCCUUCGGGUUGUAAAGUACUUUCAGCGGGGAGGAAGGGAGUAAAGUUAAUACCUUUGCUCAUUGACGUUACCCGCAGAAGAAGCACCGGCUAACUCCGUG
rnacentral:rRNA from 1 species